rnacentral:lncRNA from 1 species
GACUUUGAUAGUGUAUUUCCUGAAGGUCUGAAAGGAGAGACAAGUAGGAUAGCUCCAUUGCCUGCAUUGCCAGGACCCCAAGGACCACAUGGUUUACCCGGACCCCCAGGAGUGCCUGGUAGGGUUGGAACAAUUGGUCAGCCAGGUGAUGUGGGGCAACCAGGGCCAACAGGUGACACAGGCUUUCCAGGGCUUGGGUUUCCUGGAAAUCCAGGCCCAAAAGGAGAUAAAGGCCUUCCUGGAGGCAGAGGGGCACCAGGCUGUGAAGGAAAGAUUGGAGAGCCAGGCCGAGCUGGAAAUGUAGGACAACCAGGAGAAAAGGGUGACCCAGGCAUGAUUAUUCCUGGAGAGCCAGGCAGACAAGGUUCACCAGGAGGUCGUGGCAUUCCUGGCCCAAAAGGUGAUAGUGGAUUUCCAGGGCUUCCAGGCUUACCAGGGAAUGCUGGACGUGAUGGCAAUAGUGGCCCAAGAGGUACUGUGGUCAAAUAAGCAUAAGAAACACCAUAAGAUAGAUCCAUGUUUUAAGGAAAGGGAAGCCAAGUUAAACAUUGUUCUCUCAAAGCUUCAAACUACUGUCUAAAUUUUUAUGAAAACGGUCUCCUUUCUUUUAGGAGAUCCAGGCUUGUCUGGGGUUCCUGGGGAUCCAGGAUUUCCAGGGAAACCUGCUGAAUGUCUUACUGGCCUGCCAGGCUUGCCAGGAGCCCAGGGAGCUGCAGGCCCACCAGGUAGGAUUCUCUGAAUCAAAUGAGAUUUUUGGCUGAGUGGUUCUGGGUUUUGUUUCUACUUUCCAAUGUCC